UGAAGUAUUCCCUUUGAGACAAUCCAGCAGAAAGUCUCCAGCCUUCCAACGUGACCCUGAUGUUCCGUGUCCAGCUGGUUUCCCUGGGAGGGGACAAAUGAAAAACAAAACCUGGAGCCGAUAUAAAUAUUUGCUGGCAAGUACCAUCCUGCCGUUGACGCGCCCUGGGAAUUCUGGAGGCCUGUUUUGUUGUCGGACAUCCUCCAAGCACCUGCUGUGUGGGCCCCGGACGGGGCCAGGCCCUGAGGUCACUGUCCAGCGUCCACGGACCCAGCACCACCAAGGCCAUCACGGGAGUCCACGGAGGAAGCCUGGGGCACACGAGGGAAAACAAGGCCAGUAAACCCCGUGGCCGGUGCUACCCGCUGUCCCCCCAACUUGACCCCACGUGUCAUUAGAACGAGAGCCUCCAAAAGGCCUCCAGGGUGGGUGACAGACGUAACACCCUGCAUGUGAUGCUUUCCUAGAGCUCUCUCCUUUCCUCAUCCUGCUUUCCUUAGACACCCUCUGCAGAGCCCCGUGGGUGACCUCCGGCUGAGUCGCUGCUUCUACGUCUGGCCAGAGAGCCACGAACACACAUAUGACGCAUCCUGAUUCACAGCGGGCUCUGGCUCUGCUCUGGAAACUUCCUGCAGGAAACCACCACACUGAUUGUCCUCAGGAUGGUAGCACGUCAGUGAUUCAUGGCUCUUGGUUUAACGACGUCCGGGAGAGGGGGGGAAGGCCAGGCCGUCCAGCCCCCGCCGCCUUUCCGGGCUCUCACCGCUACUGACAUGGAUGCUCCCCCAUCCCUGGGUUCCUCAGUCAGCUAACAGCCAGGCCUCCGAUGGGACCCAG